UACAGAGGGUGCAAGCGUUAAUCGGAGUUACUGGGCGUAAAGGGCGCGUAGGCGGUUGAAUAGGUGUGAUGUGAAAGCCCCGGGCUUAACCUGGGAAGUGCAUCGCAAACGAUUCAACUGGAGUACAAGAGAGGGUGGCGGAAUUUCCGGUGUAGCGGUGGAAUGCGUAGAGAUCCGGAAGAACACCGGUGGCGAAGGCGGCCUGCUGGGCAGUAGCUGACGCUGAUGCGCGACAGCGUGGGGAGCAAACAGG
rnacentral:rRNA from 1 species